GGGUUAAAUAACAUUUAUUCACAAUUAUAUUGGAUCUCAUCAUAACUCCGUAGUUAAGCGUGCUUGAGCUAGAGUAGUAUUGAGAUGGGUGACCUCCUCGAAAGUCCUAGUGUUGCACCCU
rfam:Picea glauca, whole genome shotgun sequence.